AUGUGAAUCACCUGGGGAUUUUGUAAAAAUGUGGAUUCUGAUUCAGCAGAUCUGGGUGGGACCUGAGAUUCUGCAUUUCUAGCAAAUUCCCAGGUGAUAUCAAU
rnacentral:pre_miRNA from 1 species